GUAUGUCGCAAGCGUUAUCCGGAAUUAUUGGGCAUAAAGGGCAUCUAGGUGGCCCUGUAAGUCUAGGGUGAAAACCUGCGGCUCAACCGCAGGCCUGCCCCGGAAACUACAGGGCUAGAGUGCCGGAGAGGUGGACGGAACUGCACGAGUAGAGGUGAAAUUCGUAGAUAUGUGCAGGAAUGCCGAUGAUGAAGAUAGUUCACUGGACGGCAACUGACGCUGAAGUGCGAAAGCUAGGGGGGAGCGAACAGGAUUAGAUACCCUGGUAGUCCUAGCUGUAAACGAUGAUUACUGGGUGUGGGCAUGAAGAGUGUCCGUGCCGAAGCAAAUGCGAUAAGUAAUCCGCCUGGGGAGUACGGCCGCAAGGCUG
rnacentral:rRNA from 1 species